GUUUGGGUGGCUCAGUUGGUUGAGCAUCCGACUUUGGCUCAGGUCAUGAUCUCACAGUACGUGGGUUCGAGCCCCAUGUCAGGCU
rnacentral:tRNA from 1 species